UACGAAGGGGGCUAGCGUUGCUCGGAAUCACUGGGCGUAAAGGGCGCGUAGGCGGACUUUUAAGUCGGGGGUGAAAGCCCAGGGCUCAACCCUGGAAUUGCCUUCGAUACUGAGAGUCUUGAGUUCGGAAGAGGUUGGUGGAACUGCGAGUGUAGAGGUGAAAUUCGUAGAUAUUCGCAAGAACACCAGUGGCGAAGGCGGCUCACUGGCCCGUUACCGACGCUCAGGCGCGACAGCGUGGGGGAGCAAACAGG
rnacentral:rRNA from 1 species